AAGUAUCGUGGAGGCAUCGUUGGAGCGAUCAACCUAUUAUUUUUCAUCUUUUGAAAACCCUAGGCUAUUGGAAGUAGAAGAGAAAAAGAUCGUGGGCAGCCCGAAGCCUAGUUUGGACUUAGCUUGAGUUGGAUCAUAUUGGAGAGCGUUUGAGGUACAGACGCACAGCCUGGUGAUCCACCGGUUUAGGACACCCCCUUCUGCUAUUCGGAGUGCUCCUCUCAUUCCGGAGCUUAUAUUUUUGGUAUAUAUAUUUGUUAGUGCAUUUAUAUAUAUUCGUUCAUGGGUACGGCGGGGCCCUGUCCCGUCAUAUGAUUCUGUCGGUCUGUUUAGAGGUCUGUGGACAUGUUUGUGGGUUGGGGUCUUUUCUGUACGGAUGCGUGUAUAUGUUGUGUUUGGGCGAUCCCAUUCGCCGCGGCGGCCGGUCCGCAUAUGUUUAAAUGUUGCUUUGUUGGCCCCGUGUGGCCUUUGUUG